rnacentral:piRNA from 1 species
UGUCAUAUGCCUGGACAAUUGCUGACCGA